GUGCUCGCUUCAACAGCACUUAUACUAAAAUUGGAACGAUACACAGAAGAUUAGCAUGGCCUCUGCACAAGGAUGGCAUAGAAAUUACUGAAGUGUUCCAUAUUAAA
ensembl:snRNA U6 U6 spliceosomal RNA